UACGUAGGGUGCAAGCGUUAAUCGGAAUUACUGGGCGUAAAGCGUGCGCAGGCGGUUUUGUAAGUCUGACGUGAAAUCCCCGGGCUCAACCUGGGAAUUGCGUUGGAGACUGCAAGGCUGGAGUCUGGCAGAGGGGGGUAGAAUUCCACGUGUAGCAGUGAAAUGCGUAGAGAUGUGGAGGAACACCGAUGGCGAAGGCAGCCCCCUGGGUCAAGACUGACGCUCAUGCGACGAAAGCGUGGGGAGCAAACAGG
rnacentral:rRNA from 1 species